rnacentral:rRNA from 1 species
UUGGACCUGAUAUCAGGCAAGAUUACCCGCUGAACUUAAGCAUAUCAUG